rnacentral:rRNA from 1 species
CAGUAGCCGCGGUAAUACGUAGGGUGCAAGCGUUAAUCGGAAUUACUGGGCGUAAAGCGUGCGCAGGCGGUUUGUUAAGUCAGAUGUGAAAUCCCCGGGCUCAACCUGGGAACUGCAUUUGAGACUGUAUGGCUAGAGUGUGUCAGAGGAUGGUGGAAUUCCCGGUGUAGCGGUGAAAUGCGUAGAGAUCAGGAGGAACAUCAGUGGCGAAGGCGGCCAUCUGGGACAACACUGACGCUGAGGCACGAAAGCCUGGGGAGCAAACAGGAUUAGAUACCCCGGUAGUCCCUGUCUCUUAUAC